AUUGAACGCUGGCGGCAUGCUUUACACAUGCAAGUCGAACGGUAACAGGCCGCAAGGUGCUGACGAGUGGCGAACGGGUGAGUAAUGCAUCGGAACGUGCCCAGUCGUGGGGGAUAACUACUCGAAAGAGUAGCUAAUACCGCAUACGAUCUAUGGAUGAAAGCGAGGGACCGUAAGGCCUCGCGCGAUUGGAGCGGCCGAUGUCAGAUUAGGUAGUUGGUGGGGUAAAGGCUCACCAAGCCAACGAUCUGUAGCUGGUCUGAGAGGACAACCAGCCACACUGGGACUGAGACACGGCCCAGACUCCUACGGGAGGCAGCAGUGGGGAAUUUUGGACAAUGGGCGCAAGCCUGAUCCAGCAAUGCCGCGUGCAGGAAGAAGGCCUUCGGGUUGUAAACUGCUUUUGUACGGAACGAAACGGCUCUGGUUAAUACCCGGGGCUAAUGACGGUACCGUAAGAAUAAGCACCGGCUAACUACGUG
rnacentral:rRNA from 1 species